CCCAAUUAAGAUAUCAGAUUUUAAUUCAAACCGUUCAAAAAAUCAAUUGAAUCUUUCCGUAAACCCUUUCCUCUGGUUUUCUUUGUAAUCUCAGCACGUUUUGAUUUAACUGCACAUUUCACUCCAAACCCCGAGCUCCAGUAAAACCCUGGAGAAAGCUAGACACCAUCAGUUGAUCUAUCGUGCCAUCUCCACGCUGAGGAGAGGACUGAAACAUCAAAUCCACCACCCUCGAAAUGACAUCUGAACAUCAAUACAUGGUCCCCGCCCCUCCGAUGUGACAGUAAAAGCCGUAUUGAUUUCCGCCCGGAUUAAGGAUUCUGCUGGGAGCAAUUUAAACAUACAAGCUGAAGUCUCCGGGCCAGUGGGAGGAGGAGGGGGAGGUUGGCUGUGGAGUGAGAAGACCAGAUUCCCACCAAGUGAGAGGCCCCAGGGAUCUGCAGCUGAAGACACCCUGACAGAAAGCAGAGGCCCACAUAUCUCCCAGGAGGAAAGAAAGGGGUCAGGAGGACAUCUGCUUCAUGUCAGCUGGCAGUAUAGUACUUGUCUCAGGGGUUAUCGGGCUCCCUCUAUCAGGCUGUGGUUGGAACAUGGACCUCUCCUUCCUGAAGGAAACCCUCCGAACCAGCGUGUCGACAGCUUGAGAAGGUGCGACAGAGAAAGAAAAGAGGAAAGUCUGGAUGGGGCUGGAAGGAAGACGACAGAGGCAAGGAUGAGUAGGAGAGAAAUACAGCAAAUUACUGUGUUUUUUUUAGAUACGGUAGGACCAACACCCUGUAUUGUAUUGUAGUUUACCCUACUAAAUUUUUCCAUGUUACUUUGCUGAUAUUAUUAAAAGGAAAGCCCAACAGAAUAUUUAAAAUUAUAUUUUAGAUGCUGAAGAAAACUCUCCAUUUUAAUUGUUGGUUUCAAUGUAUAAAUAGAAAAUGUGCACAAUUAGUGAUAUUAUUUAUCACCAUAUCUAUUUAUUUUUAUAUAAUUAUCUGAUGAGCAUUUGUGGAAGUCCCUCCAUAAUGAUAAAAGUUCCACAUGUUGUCUAUUUAUCUGUAAGUCUGAUCUUGUCAACUCACAGGACAAAAUCCACGAAAGUUUAAUAUCAAGCUUCCAAAAAUACUGGAAAAUAAUAAGGGAAAAAUACACAUAAUCUCAUAUAUCUUACAACAGAAGCAGACAUUACUCUUGCAUUCACAAAUGGUGAGUUAAGGAGUUGUUAAUAAUUAAAUGGCAUAUUAUUUAUUGUCCUUGCCAUUAUCCUUUAAAGACCCAUUAAACUUCAAAACUACUUCAGAACAAACAUAACAAACUUAAUAUUGUUCUCACUGAUGCUGUUCUGUCUUAUUUGUAUUACUCUUUGUAUUCGUCUAGUGAUGAGUACAAUAACUGAAAGGCAGUACUUUAGCCUUUUGAGGACUCAUUGAUAGUCUAUAUGUCUACCAUCAACUGGAUUACAUUAGUGCUGACAAAGAUGGGGAUAAAGGUAAGCAGAGAGAGAGACCAAGUAUACUGUACUCCGUAUAUCCCCUCUUUGUGAGUCAAGGUUUGCACUUCAUCUGGACUGCUGUAGUGCCCCUGUGUGUAUGCUACUUUAAAACUAAGUACAGAGACACGAUAGUGGAAGAGAGAAUGAGAAUGUCAUAUACAGUAUAACAGUGGUUGCCACACCGCCUACCAAGAUUGCACUUAGACAAGAUAGUUGAAGUAAAGUCAAGGACUUAAAGGUCCAAUAAGAAAAAAGAAGACAAAAGUAAGAGUGAUUGAGAGAAAGAAGGAGAAUGGGAAAAAAAGGCAAUGCAGACAAGCUGCAGUAUGUGAAAAUACCGUUAGUGAUGUGAAAGCUUCAGAUGAAGUGGAGCGAAGUGAGCCCCAAAGCCAGGGCUAAGUGAGCAGAUUAGAGAGACCGCACAGUGGUAUCACUCUUCCACUGCAUUUUCUGUCCCACUGGCAAAGGUCAAGCACGUACUACAGCCACACAGUGUACAUACUGCAGGUAUGUACACACAGUCACUACAGACAAAAAAGUGUUAAUGAAAAUAACAUCACCAAUUUGAGCCAAUAAAAAGGCUCAUGCUUGACACACAAAUGGCAAUGUGGCAUAUUGUAAAGUGGGUAGUUUCAAUGACCCCUUUAACAUUCUCAGCUCACAUGGCUGCUUCUGCAAAACCAGGUAUAAAAUCUGUGCUGUUAUCAGCCCCAGUGCGUUUGCA